rnacentral:lncRNA from 1 species
AUGAAUGUUUGAGAAUACAGUGGGGACAACUAGGUAAUUCACUGUCUUACGCUUUUCAGAAGACUGGCCCUUUGAAACGCAGCCUGUUAUUGUUGGUCAGAUCAUGUGGCACUUAAGUAGCCCCUUGGUCAUAUUUUUAAAAGCAAAUAUAGACAGUGACAGUCCUACAGGGGAAAAUCACAGAUACAUUCAUAUGCACCUCUUUUGUUCUUCAGAUAUUGAGUGGGUCAGCUAAACAAGAUCACUUUGAAUAUGAACCUCUUUGUAUUAGUCACACCAACAAAAAAGUUUCAAAAAAAGUUUUCACUUUCCUACAUUUGCUAAGUCUGAGCUUUAAAAAAUUCUAAAAUCCUCUAAAGACAAUACUGAAGCUGAUAAUAUAAAAAGCAAAUUAGAGCACUAAUGAUUAUUACUAGAUGCACCAGAUUAACUGCAGCAGGUUGGUGAUGGGUGAUAUAAGCAAAGACAUAAUAUUUCAAUCAACUCAUGAUCAUAGGCAGAUUCAAAAGUUAAAAUGAAUAUAAUGUAAUAUAUAUUUCAAUAUAGAGUUGUUAUAUAUAAUGUGUAUGUCCUAGGUUUCAGAAAUACUGCAAUGUAGUGUAUUGUAGUUAAGUAAGCAUACCUAAAUAGUAACUCAUAUUCUUUCACAAAGUCACUAGUACUGUUAAUUAAAGGAAAAAAUAAAACCGAAACAACUAAUUGUUUUUCCAGUAAAAAGAAAUACCUAUGGUUACAGUUACAGACUUCUUUUGGAUAUAGAAAGACAAUAUACAUUUUAAAAAGUAAUAACGACAAAAAAGUUGCAACUGUAAGUAGCCUUACUUAACAGGGGAAGGGGAAAAGUCACCAGAAUAGAAGAGGAAAGAAAAUGUCCUCUGACUUCUGUAAAACAGAAAUAAUGUACAAAUCAUAAAAAAUAACAAACCAUCUAGUAAAAGAAGGGCAUGGGAGUGAGAAAACUGAAUCCUGAAUUCCAGGCCACCAAACCCUCAGAGUCCAUUCAUUCAGUAUAUUAUACUAGAGUGGCAUUCUACUUCAAUGCUUGAGAUGGGCAAGAGCAAUCAAUUCCUACAGAUUACCAAAAAACAUUCCCCCCAACAGUCUAUUGGUUUGCUAGACAUGGUAAACAACCCACUCCUGGAAAGACUUUGGCAAAGGCCACAUUGGUUUCAGGAGACACAGUUUGUGAAUUACGAUGAGAUACUGAUGCACCCAACUAAGGCAACAAAGCAUAAGCAGAUACGUGAGAUAUGUCAGACCUUCGACUUCUAACCAGAAGUUCAAAAAUGUAUCUUGUUGUCACUGGGCAAUAUGAAUGUGAAACAG